AAGCAAAAGGUUUAUUUAAUAAGUGUCAAUACCUGAAGACAUAUCCCAGCAUUAACAAAUAAUAAUAAAUAAUAGUAAUAUUCUAAUAAUGUGGCAAUCCUAUUGUGAAAACGCACAUGACCCUUAGGUUUUCCUGAAGAUGUUCAGAAUUCUCUCCAUUAGUACAACCAGUGGUGGACAUUGCUGUUGCAUUUCCCAAUGAAACAUUUAAAAGACUGUAAAUGGUAUGUGCAUUACUACCUUGGAGAAGGAAGAGGUCAGACUAAAUUGCACUGGUAUUUAAACAUAAUCAUACUAUGAAAAUAAAUCAAAACAUCACGUAAAAGGAGUAUUUGAAAUGUUACACGCGUUGUCUUUCUGGAAUGACAUAGCUAAGCAGUUCCCUCUGAGCAUAUAUAUUUUAACACAAGUUUACAAAAAUAAAAGUAUAUGAUUUUCAACAAAUGGGAAUAGGUCUACAGUGAAGUAUUAUGAAUAUUAUUUUGCUCUUUCUUUCCUAAUGAGGUUUAUCCUUCAGCCAGACAGUUUUAAGACUGAAAUACUACUGGCUAUAGAGUGUAGAUUGCAAAUUGCACGCUACUCAAUGUGAAAAGGAGCACGUUUGAUUGAUCGCCUCUGUGUAUGUAUGCGCCCAUACACACAACUCUCUGUAGUUGCAUGUGUAUGUACUUGGCAAAACCGGGCAUCUCUGGCUGUGCUUAUCUUAAGAAAUGUGAGACAAACAUCCAUUCCUUUAAUCAUGUUCAUCUUUGAUCACCAGUGAGGGUGACACAGUCCACAAAAUUAACAAAGAAAUUCCCUUGCUUUUGAGACAGCUACAUGUACAUCUGGGUCUGCACACACAUGCACAUGGACACACGAACACAUAGGCAUAUAUCCCAGUAAGUAAAUUAUGGCAUAACUUUUCAUGUAAUUGACACCAGACACCUUUAAUUUUUCAUUUUCAUUAUUUUGACCAGCUUUCACAUUAACAAUCUAAGCCAUAAAUGUUGGUGGCUAUUGAUCGCAAUCCCCUGUGUGCGUGCAAAUCCAUUUUCAAGUCCCCUGCCUUUAAUGUGCGUGUGCGUGUGCAAGGGGCCUCUGAUGGCUGUUUAUCAGGAUCUCCCCCAGCCUGCUUCAAGACGACCCCGGAUACAAAACGUGUGCCGAUGGCCAAGGGAAAGGGCGCACACACACGCACACGCACACGCACAAAAAGAACCAAACCAAAUGAUGGAGAAGUAAAGAAACAAAGCUCUCUUGUGUGAGAUGCGGAGAAAGAUAUGCAACCGAAAGUGUGUGUAAGUAUACGGUGGGGAUGUGUAGGUUGGGCGCCUGACAUUUCCCAAGACUUCUGGUGGGUUUCUCCCUGCCGACAUCUGGCGCUGCCUCGACCCCGGUGCUCAUGGCCGCACCUUUCGGGAACCCGAGGUUUGCCGAAAAGCCGUCACUAGUUUUAAACGUUUGGUAGCACUGGAAUUAUUAAAAAAAAAAAAAAAAAAAAAAAGGAAAUAAAAAAAUAAUUUUAAAAAAGGGCAUUUUUUAAACAGCUGCCGAAUGCCACUGCCAGGCUAUCACCAGCAGCGUGUGGGUGCGGGUUUGGAUGCCCGUGGCUCCCUGCGUGCAAAGCACGCGUGGAUUUACACGGCAAUCCGACCCAGAUUAACUACCUGACAAAUAAAGGACUUUUCAGCCCAUCGGGCUUUUGGGUAACGUCUUCUGAGCAGCUUUCUCAGAGUUUACUGUUCCUUUACUGUUGACUCCAUAGCCUUAACCUUAAAGCAGGGGGAGGAGAGCAGUAGGGAGGGGGUGGGGGUGUUCGCAGCAUAUAAGUACAUCAGGAGGAAUUUUUAAACGACCUUAUUGUCUCUAGCUCUAGAAAGACCACGAUGAUUUCUCUUUAGCGCCAGCAGCUGUUUUCUUUCGAAACUUUGCUUUUUUUGCCUCUCACACGAGCGAGCAGGAGAAAGGCAAGGCUGGGAGAUCCAGAUGCAAGGAGAGGGAAGGAGAACUCCGCGGAUGGUCUGAGCUGUGCCGAGGCAUUGUUCACUGCUGCCUCUCGGUUACGUUUAAAGGCUGAAAUAUCACGAGAUCCACUCAAUGAUCCUUUUCUAAUUCGAGGGACAAAAUGUAAUUUGCUGUAGCUCUGCUUUCUCGGAUGGGAAUACUAUCCCUAGGUUUCAGAGGGAAGAACUAGGCAUCGCGGUUCGCACACACAUGGAUUAAGUUGAACAGCGGCGAUUACAUCUGCGCUGAGAGCAACAGUAGUCCAGGGCUGACUUUUCAAAUCUCAGCCCUCCGAGUUAGAGGCUCCCUUGAAUAGACUUCCUCCAUUCCCGGAUGCACUUCUCCAAAUUCCCACUUCUCUCUCGAAUUCCUGGGAAAUUGGGGGCUUGCCUGCAUUUCGCCUUGUCAUGCAAAACGGCGUUUUCACAGAGUGAUUAUGCGCUUUCUUUUAGCUGUACCUGACGGGGUAACACGAACUCCACGCACCAUAUUGCCAACACGCGGAGUGGAUAUUGACGUUUGCGAUUGAAGAUUUUUUUUUUUCCUCCGUCGAUUUUUUUGCCAAGUCACAGCAGUAUAAGAUGUCUCAUUAAUCUCGCGGAUGUGUCUAAUUCUGGAUGUGCAGUGAUACAUAAAAGUGCUGGUGUUUGUAUCCAGCGGAACACUGGAUGCACGGCAGAGAUUGGUGAUUUUUUUUUUCGCAGCGCCUAACGUGCAAACCGCAAGCAUCACUUUAACGUGACAAGGGAGAGGCAUGCAGCUAUCGCAACAUUUGCGAAAUCCUCGUUCUUGACACUCGAAUAAUUUAACGUUCCUAAGAAGAGGUUAAACCUUCAUGCUGCUUCUUCAAAUUGAUUUUAAGGGGCUACUAUAAAUGGAGCAUCAAAAAGCUUCGGCAGGGCUACUCCGAGCGGAAUAUGCAAACUGCGAGCUAGAAGCAUCCUAGCCCGAUGCAAUAUCGUACAUUGUGUGUUCCAGCACUUUUUUGUUAUUACGUAAAGGCUCCUGGAAACACCUUGGAUAUUUUACAUUCUCCUUUCUCUGCUGGAAGCAAUCAGCACGCAGGAAUCCUGACGUGGGCUCUGGGACUAUAGGACAUUCCAGCUCGUGAUCCAGCACGGUUAAUCGUGAAAAGUGUAUACAUUUCUGGCUUAUCUAUGCUUUGUUAUGGGUCUGACGUGAGCUCACGUCCUCCUCCCCCCUCCUGCAAUAUUACAGGCAGAAUUUCAGUUAAAAGUGUUAUAGUAUCACGGUGCGGGAACCCGUGAUAUUCAGACAGCAAAAAUAACCUUAGUACCCGGCUAUAAAAAGCUAAUUAAGCAGAAGAGGAAAAUCAAGAGAAACUCGAAAAUGUAAGUACUCCCUCUCGUUAACAACCGAACAUUUAACUUUGGAGCCUCAGAAGGGGAAAUACCA
ensembl:lncRNA